GACGGAGGGGGCAAGCGUUGUUCGGAAUUAUUGGGCGUAAAGGGCUCGUAGGCGGACCGGCAAGUCUGGCGUGAAAUCUCCACCGCUCACCGGGGAGGGGUCGCUGGAAACUACUGGUCUGGAGUUCGGUAGAGGACCGUGGAAUUGCGCAUGUAGCGGUGGAAUGCGUAGAUAUGCGCAAGAACACCUGUGGCGAAGGCGGCGGUCUGGGCCGAUACUGACGCUGAGGAGCGAAAGCCAGGGGAGCAAACGGGAUUAGAUACCCCGGUAGUCCUGGCUGUAAACGUUGGAUACUAGGUGUGGGGGGUAUCGACCCCUCCCGUGCCGCAGUUAACACAUUAAGUAUCCCGCCUGGGGAGUACGGCCGCAAGGUUGAA
rnacentral:rRNA from 1 species